rnacentral:rRNA from 1 species
ACCUUCGGGGGACGAUAACGGCGUCGAGCGGCGGACGGGUGAGUAAUGCCUAGGAAAUUGCCCUGAUGUGGGGGAUAACCAUUGGAAACGAUGGCUAAUACCGCAUGAUGCCUACGGGCCAAAGAGGGGGACCUUCGGGCCUCUCGCGUCAGGAUAUGCCUAGGUGGGAUUAGCUAGUUGGUGAGGUAAGGGCUCACCAAGGCGACGAUCCCUAGCUGGUCUGAGAGGAUGAUCAGCCACACUGGAACUGAGACACGGUCCAGACUCCUACGGGAGGCAGCAGUGGGGAAUAUUGCACAAUGGGCGCAAGCCUGAUGCAGCCAUGCCGCGUGUGUGAAGAAGGCCUUCGGGUUGUAAAGCACUUUCAGUCGUGAGGAAGGUAGUGUAGUUAAUAGCUGCAUUAUUUGACGUUAGCGACAGAAGAAGCACCGGCUAACUCCGUGCCAGCAGCCGCGGUAAUACGGAGGGUGCGAGCGUUAAUCGGAAUUACUGGGCGUAAAGCGCAUGCAGGUGGUUUGUUAAGUCAGAUGUGAAAGCCCGGGGCUCAACCUCGGAAUUGCAUUUGAAACUGGCAGACUAGAGUACUGUAGAGGGGGGUAGAAUUUCAGGUGUAGCGGUGAAAUGCGUAGAGAUCUGAAGGAAUACCGGUGGCGAAGGCGGCCCCCUGGACAGAUACUGACACUCAGAUGCGAAAGCGUGGGGAGCAAACAGGAUUAGAUACCCUGGUAGUCCACGCCGUAAACGAUGUCUACUUGGAGGUUGUGGCCUUGAGCCGUGGCUUUCGGAGCUAACGCGUUAAGUAGACCGCCUGGGGAGUACGGUCGCAAGAUUAAAACUCAAAUGAAUUGACGGGGGCCCGCACAAGCGGUGGAGCAUGUGGUUUAAUUCGAUGCAACGCGAAGAACCUUACCUACUCUUGACAUCCAGAGAACUUUCCAGAGAUGGAUUGGUGCCUUCGGGAACUCUGAGACAGGUGCUGCAUGGCUGUCGUCAGCUCGUGUUGUGAAAUGUUGGGUUAAGUCCCGCAACGAGCGCAACCCUUAUCCUUGUUUGCCAGCGAGUAAUGUCGGGAACUCCAGGGAGACUGCCGGUGAUAAACCGGAGGAAGGUGGGGACGACGUCAAGUCAUCAUGGCCCUUACGAGUAGGGCUACACACGUGCUACAAUGGCGCAUACAGAGGGCGGCCAACUUGCGAAAGUGAGCGAAUCCCAAAAAGUGCGUCGUAGUCCGGAUUGGAGUCUGCAACUCGACUCCAUGAAGUCGGAAUCGCUAGUAAUCGUGGAUCAGAAUGCCACGGUGAAUACGUUCCCGGGCCUUGUACACACCGCCCGUCACACCAUGGGAGUGGGCUGCAAAAGAAGUAGGUAGUUUAACCUUCGG